rnacentral:tRNA from 1 species
UCCCUGGUGGCUUAGACGGUAAAGCAUCUGUCUACAAUGCAGGAGACCCAGGUUCCAUCCCUGGGUUGGGAA